rnacentral:rRNA from 1 species
CCUACGAGAGGCUGCAGUGGGGGAUAUUGGACAAUGGGGGAAACCCUGAUCCAGCGACGCCGCGUGAGUGACGAAGUAUUUCGGUAUGUAAAGCUCUAUCAGCAGGGAAGAAAGAAAUGACGGUACAUGAGUAAGAAGCCCCGGCUAACUACGUGCCAGCAGCCGCGGUAAUACGUAGGGGGCAAGAGUUAUCCGGAAUUACUGGGUGUAAAGGGAGCGUAGACGGUAAUGCAAGUCUGGAGUGAAAGGCGGGGGCCCAACCCCCGGACUGCUCUGGAAACUGUGUAACUGGAGUGCAGGAGAGGCAGGCGGAAUUCCUAGUGUAGCGGUGAAAUGCGUAGAUAUUAGGAGGAACACCAGUGGCGAAGGCGGCCUGCUGGACUGUAACUGACGUUGAGGCUCGAAAGCGUGGGGAGCAAACAGGAUUAGAUACCCUGGUAGUC